rnacentral:rRNA from 1 species
GUGGGGAAUAUUGGACAAUGGGCGCAAGCCUGAUCCAGCCAUGCCGCGUGAGUGAUGAAGGCCCUAGGGUUGUAAAGCUCUUUCAGUGGGGACGAUAAUGACGGUACCCACAGAAGAAGCCCCGGCUAACUUCGUGCCAGCAGCCGCGGUAAUACGAAGGGGGCUAGCGUUGUUCGGAUUUAUUGGGCGUAAAGCGCACGUAGGCGGAUCGUUAAGUCGAGGGUGAAAUCCUGGAGCUCAACUCCAGAACUGCCUUCGAUACUGGCGAUCUUGAGUCCGGAAGAGGUGAGUGGAACUCCUAGUGUAGAGGUGGAAUUCGUAGAUAUUAGGAAGAACACCAGUGGCGAAGGCGGCUCACUGGUCCGGUACUGACGCUGAGGUGCGAAAGCGUGGGGAGCAAACAGGAUUAGAAACCCCAGUAGUCC